ensembl:lncRNA
CUUUUUUGGCAAGCUUCUGUAACCACAUGAUAUUCACUUUUAUUUUAAAUUUUGGAUAUGGUGAAGCUAAUUAGAAGAUUGUAUAAGAGGGGGACCUGUCUUUAUUUCAAACAAAGCUAAUUUCAGUCGCUCCUGCUUGUUUUCCUAUUGAUUUCAUUAUCCAGCUGUAUUUGCUUUCCACGCCAACAUGCUCACGAGGAUGUGGAUGUGUAUUCCUGGCUGGUCCAACCAGCAUGACUUGUGGUGAAAUGGGGUAAAGGCCUCCCGAUCCAAAAUCACCAUCGUAUUUUGUGGGUUCUUCUGGCCAAGUGACUCUGUGGUCACAUUGGAUGUCCCUUUUGUACCCUUCAGGUCUGUGGUGUUUGGCUGCAAUACGUUUUUAGAAAUGGGGAAAGCCAUGUAGAUGACAGGAAUGGGAACUGGCCAGACAGCAGCUGCCCUUCCGUCCUCCAUCUCCCGGAGGCUGAUCUUUCUGUCUCUCCCUGCAGUUUACAGCUGCCUUCACCUCACCUGUUACCACCCCAGCAGCCGCACCUUCCUUCACGUGGGAUUGGCGUUGUAGGCGAUCUGCUGAGAUGUCCCCUCGCUAAGAGGAGGCGAAGCAUUGGGGAAACCUCCAGGGUGGAAUACGGUGAAUAUGCAAGGAAUCUGUUCCAUGAUGGCUCCCUAAGCAGCAUGCCCUGCAGCCUUGGAUGCUGGCAGCAGCAGGGGAGCGCUUGGAGCGUCUUGAGGCACAUUGAAGAUCCUGGAGUACAUCGUUGAGCAUCCAGCUCUGCAGUCAGGGCCCUGGGCAGGCCUGCCGGGCACUUGGGAGAGCUUCUGGCUGUGGGUUCUGCAGGUUUGCUGCUGCCUGGCUUUCAAAUAAGCCCUCUGGGUGAAGGUAAUGGCAGUCUCCCAUCAGGAUCUCGCUUCUGUACAGCUGCAAUCUUCCUGAGCAGUUUUUCUCCGUCUCUUUGCAGUGCACUGUGCUGUAUAGAUGGAUGCUUGACCUCACCUGGCAUAGCCUGUGCCAUUCCAGUGUGAUUCCUUGGGCGUGUGGCUGUGUCCCAUAGCAGGGCAUUGUACUGCAGCCACCGCAGGUUCCUGCCCAGCUCCUUGGCAAUGCAAUACAGUGAACUCCCUGCCCGUGUCCCCACAUGGAGCACACCCAAGUGUCCCUGCUGGAUGAGGAGCAGCGGUGAGAGCCCCAUGGUGUGCAAGGUGCUGGGCUGUGCAGGAGUCCUCAGGGAGAAGGAGUGUGAGGGAGGAAUGCAUCAUAGGGUGGGGUUUUGUCCUUCACCGCAGCAAAGCCAGCUGCAGCCUUGUAUCUGUGAUGUCUGCUGGGUGGGGAGGGGAUGCAAAGUGGAAGAAAUAAGAUGACCAAGGAGCUUGGAGGAGGUUGGCCUAGGGAAAAACAGACGCACUUCUUGCAGAUGGGAUGGGAAGUCUCAGUGUUGCUGAGACUGGAACAACACAGAGUGAAACCAAGUGUGCAUCCCAGAGUGCCUGGGGACACUGAGCAUCCAAUAACCAUUGGCUUUUCUUCCCUGGCAUGAGAUGAAGCCUGGCCUUGGAGGUGUCCCCACUCUCCCUGUGGUUUGUCCCCUUCCCUGGGUCAUUCCUGCUCCUGCAGCUGUUGCUUGCUACUGAGUAAAGCUGAGUGUGGCUGUUUAUUGCUUUGCUUAAUUGCUUUUGUAUGCAUGGCACUCAGCAAUGGCAAUGCCCAGCAUGGAUCUCUCUCUGGUUUCCCCCUCACUGAGCAGCACUGAGCUGUUGUGAGUUUUCUUGUCCUGUGCCCAAAACCAGGGAAAGUUCUGAGCUGAAGAGAAACGCGUUCUCAGGCUGAGACGUGGUGCUCUGCGUGGUGCUAUUUCACCCUUCUGCUUAAUCCUUUUCUCUAUUCAUAUUUAUCCAC